AUUGUUGAAAAUACCAAGUCACGACCGUUAGAGCACCUGUCGCCACCUUCAUCUCAAAACACGCUAAAAUAUCACGACGGUAAAUCAACCGUCCCCGUCUAUUUCUAAAAAAUUCAAGUUACGACAGUUGGAGCACCUGUCGCCACCCCAAACGCUUCACCCAAUUACAAGGUUGCGACGGUGAUAGCCAUCCGUCGUCUUCCCUUAUCUCAAUUCGCUCUAAAACUCUUCAUAUCCUAAUUUUUAAUUUUUUUAUUCUCUUAUUCAUAAACACACGCCCUUGGAGAAAAAGAAGCACACUCACGUCAAAGGAACUUCUUCCUCUCUCAGCCACUCACGUCGUCAAAGCAACCACCAUCACCAUAAAGCUUAACAGGUAAUCAUUCACAACACAACAUAUUUUCUGUAGCUAAUGACAUCUUGGGUUGUUGUCUGAUACUCAGAGCUGCAAAAUCUGAAGGUAGAGUGACAGCAGAGAGUGUGGUUUACAGUUUUGGAACUCUAUUGCUUGAUCUCUUGAGUGGUAAACAUAUUCCACCAAGCCAUUUUCUUUUAAAGAUGGAGGUGAAAUAAUAUCUAUAGAUUCAAGUGUGAAGCAGGGUGGAAUCAUAUCUAGAUUCAAGUGUGAAGCAAGGAGGCUGUAAUACUCUUUUAUUCUGUCACAACAUGGAUUCAAUAUGUUUCUUCAACAUCACUAAAGUUUUGGCUUAUUACUUUUAGGACAAGUUGUCUUUGUUAGAUUCAACAAACUUCUCAAUGAUUUAUCUUUGUAAUGUAUAUGAGUUCAUAGAGAAAAUGAAAUCUCUAAUCUUCCAUGUUUC